UCCAUUUUAGUAUGGAAAUAUUGAGAUAAACUGUCGCAGAUAAUAACUAUAUUUUCCUGGUGAGCUAAUUUUUACUGCUUUGACUUGAGCGAUAUUUUAAGGACAGAUUUUUGUCUACAAUUUUUUUUGGAAACGAGAUGGAUGAGCCGAAAAGGGAAAAUAAGCCUUCAAAUUACAGAUGUAUCUUGUGCUGGUUCUGCUGGCCGAAAGAAACGGAUAGCGAUGUAGAAGCAGAAGGCUUUCCCCGCUCUGUCGAUGAUGCUCUGCAAGACAACAGAGAAGCGCAAAAACUUAUUGAAUCUUAGGCAAAAGACAGUCAGACUAUGUUCGACAAACAUCCAAAAAUCUCGUCGAUCAGAAUAGAACUAAGUAAAAACGAAACGGUAUGAUUUAUUUUUCAGGUUUGUCAAACUUUAACAUAUAUCACGAAAGAAAUGGAUGACAUCACGUUAACUUAGCUUACGUUGAUUAUGUGAAAUGUUAGACAAGAGUUUUAAAAUAUUUAUGUAU